CGACUGUGAGCGAAACUUGCACUUACAACUUCGACCGGAUAUGUGACAAUCUCUGCCAGAUUCGAUUGGAUUUUGAUACACUUGUGACUCAAACCUGGCCACUGGGGCCUGUGGGGAUACGGCAGAUUCCGUCAUGGUGUCCAGUCCUUUCUCGUCGUCGGCCAAUGCUUUCCACCCACCGUUUGUGGAACAUUGACGGGACAGCAUAUGUACCUUGAGACUGCAACACUGGAACAGCUGGAGAAACUGGCCAUCACCAAAGGAUCGGACACCGGGAACCGAAACUUCCAAAUCAAGGUCACAUACUUCACCUGCAAUAGCCUGGCCAAAGCACCCGCUGGAUGCACUCAAUAUUUCACGGGGCAAAGUGGAAACUUCCAAUC